UACAGAGGGGGCAAGCGUUAUUCGGAAUUAUUGGGCGUAAAGGGCGCGUAGGCGGCCUGGCAAGUGGAAGGUGAAAUCCCUCGGCUUAACCGAGGAACUGCCCUCCAAACUGCUUGGCUCGAGUCCGGGAGAGGUGAGUGGAAUUCCCAGUGUAGCGGUGAAAUGCGUAGAUAUUGGGAGGAACACCAGUGGCGAAGGCGGCUCACUGGACCGGAACUGACGCUGAGGCGCGAAAGCGUGGGGAGCAAACGGG
rnacentral:rRNA from 1 species